UCCAGCAAGGCAUGGAGGACGGUUAGUGUCUCGCCACAUCUACAGCAUAUGGGAGGUUCGCUACCGGUCAAGAGAUAAGAGUGCGUGCCAUACGUAUGACCUAUCCGAAGGCGUCAGAAAAUGACCUCGAUUCGCCGUAUUUUUGUUAUCGGUGGAAAAUUUCGUAAUUGUGGCUCGAUCAAAUGGAGUUUAUUAGAGGUUUCGGUGUCCCACUUCUGUUGCCAAUACCGCCUAAGUUUUUUGCGCAAAAAAUGGCUUUAAGUCUGAGGCAGGGAUACCUACGGAACAGUUGACAGCUUUCGUUGCAAUGGAUGUCGCAAUUUCAUCUGCAAGCAUGUUGCCCUUAAUGC
rnacentral:lncRNA from 1 species